rnacentral:rRNA from 1 species
UACGUAGGUGGCAAGCGUUGUCCGGAUUUACUGGGCGUAAAGAGCGCGCAGGCGGUCGUAUAAGUCGAAUGUGAAAGCCCCCGGCUCAACUGGGGAGGGUCACGCGAUACUGCUCGACUUGAAGGCAGGAGAGGGAAGCGGAAUUCCCGGUGUAGUGGUGAAAUGCGUAGAUAUCGGGAGGAACACCAGUGGCGAAGGCGGCUUCCUGGCCUGUUCUUGACGCUGAGGCGCGAAAGCUAGGGUAGCAAACGGG